UACGUAGGGUGCAAGCGUUGUCCGGAUUUAUUGGGCGUAAAGAGCGUGUAGGCGGCUAGGUAGGUCGGUUGUGAAAACUGGAGGCUCAACCUUCAGACGUCGACCGAAACCCCCUGGCUAGAGUCCGGGAGAGGAGAGUGGAAUUCCUGGUGUAGCGGUGAAAUGCGCAGAUAUCAGGAAGAACACCCGUGGCGAAAGCGGCUCUCUGGAACGGUACUGACGCUGAGACGCGAAAGCGUGGGGAGCGAACGGG
rnacentral:rRNA from 1 species